rnacentral:rRNA from 1 species
UACGGGGGGGGCAAGCGUUGUUCGGAAUUACUGGGCGUAAAGGGCUCGUAGGCGGCCAACUAAGUCAGACGUGAAAUCCCUCGGCUUAACCGGGGAACUGCGUCUGAUACUGGAUGGCUUGAGUUUGGGAGAAGAAUGCGGAAUUCCAGGUGUAGCGAUGAAAUUCGUAGAUAUCGGGAGGAACACCGGUGGCGAAGGCGGCGACCUGGGUAGAUACUGACGCUGAGGCGCGAAAGCUAGGGGAGCAAACGGG